CGCGCAGCAGGACGGAAAGACCCCGGGACCUUUACUACAGCUUGAUAUUGGUGUUCGGUUCGGUUUGUGUAGGAUAGGUGGGAGACUGUGAAGCAUUCGCGCCAGCGGGUGUGGAGUCGUUGUUGAAAUACCACUCUGAUCGUGCUGGAUGUCUAACCUGGGUCCGUGAUCCGGAUCAGGGACAGUGUCUGGUGGGUAGUUUAACUGGGGCGGUUGCCUCCUAAAAUGUAACGGAGGCGCCCAAAGGUUCCCUCAGCCUGGUUGGUCAUCAGGUGGUGAGUGUAAGUGCA
rnacentral:rRNA from 1 species